rnacentral:rRNA from 1 species
AUUGAACGCUGGCGGCAUGCCUUACACAUGCAAGUCGAACGGCAGCACGGGUGCUUGCACCUGGUGGCGAGUGGCGAACGGGUGAGUAAUACAUCGGAACAUGUCCUGUAGUGGGGGAUAGCCCGGCGAAAGCCGGAUUAAUACCGCAUACGAUCUACGGAUGAAAGCGGGGGGCCUUCGGGCCUCGCGCUAUAGGGUUGGCCGAUGGCUGAUUAGCUAGUUGGUGGGGUAAAGGCCUACCAAGGCGACGAUCAGGAGCUGGUCUGAGAGGACGACCAGCCACACUGGGACUGAGACACGGCCCAGACUCCUACGGGAGGCAGCAGUGGGGAAUUUUGGACGAUGGGCGAAAGCCUGAUCCAGCAAUGCCGCGUGUGUGAAGAAGGCCUUCGGGUUGUAAAGCACUUUUGUCCGGAAAGAAAUCCUUGGCUCUAAUACAGUCGGGGGAUGACGGUACCGGAAGAAUAAGCACCGGCUAACUACGUG